GUGGCUUUGCUGGAGGGACAGACAGUUGAUCAUAGUGGAGCUGGUGAGAGGAAGCUGCACCCAAAAGCCAUGGCCGGGAACCUGGAUCUGACUGCAGGGAAACAGAAGCGUGGUGGGCGCUGGGCGAUGAUGGAAUUUCUAACAAAUGCUUUGUUUCUGCUAAAGCUAACUUGCGCUUCCAUCUCUGGCAUCUCCUCCACUUCCCAGAUGAGGACGCAAGCAAGCGCACUCUUCCGAUGUCACUUCUCACGGGAGGCCUCUGUGAUUGCAGAAGGAAAGGCCCCGGCAGAACUCACCAUCUGCCGCCUGAGGCUCCACCACCUCGAAGACAUCCUUGCAAGAUCCACAGACUGGCCCACACCAGGAGGUGUCUGUCUUCUUCUUGUGUCUUCUUCACUCCCCUGGACUGGUUCGUGAACCCCUUCUCCUAUCUCUGUUUCCUCUGGAUGUUAAAUUCUACUUUCUUUGUUGUGGAACGUUAACCUGUAACAUGUAUAUACUGAUUAAGUACACUCUUACGUUGUCGUGUGCAAUAUUGGCUGACGUGUGCAGUGGCUUGAGCCCGUGUGACUGCGGCUCUCACUACCGAGGGAAAAGGAGCACUAAGCAGCAUGCCUCCUUGGGAACGCCGUGUGGCUCGUGGCUUUAGGGAUUGAAAUAGCCUCAAUAAAAUUCUGACAUUGUGAAAGACA